UAAAAGCAAGAGAGACCAUCACUUGUACUUAUUUCUAGAAUGAAGAAGGACAAAGGAGAGCAGUAUGGGAGGAGAACUUGAAAAUAAUUGAGCUGCACAAUGAAGAGUACAGACAAGGGAAACACAGCUUCUCCAUGGGACCUGACCCAUGAAGAAUUCAGGAAGACAAGACUUGGCUAUCAAACCAUGGAGGACGAUUGCAUGGAUUGUCAAGGUGAUGUGACUCAUGUGAAGGAUCAGAUAUGACACUGUCACAUUCAACCCUUCCAGUGCCCACAGAAAAGACAAGAAGAUGCAUGAAGAUCUUAAGAGACCAGGACAACCACUGUGGUAGUGCCACACGGUCCAGCUACCCCACUGUGCGAGCUCCUCGUUGGUGAUAGGA